rnacentral:tRNA from 1 species
UGCGGGUGUGGUGAAAUUGGUAGACACGCUAGACUUAGGAUCUAGUGCUUCACGGCGUGGGGGUUCGAGUCCCUUCACCCGCACUUG